AGAUUUGUGAAUUCAGAAUAAAUUGUCCGUGGAAAUUUAUGGGAAUCAGAGCUUUCCAAUAGAACUUUGGGUUUCUGGAAAUUCGUUUUGAGUUUGGGUCAAUCUUACAGGUUAGUAUAAGAAGAUUUAUCCGGCUGUGAGUGUCGCAAAUAUUUUAUUAUUGAUUCGAUCCGUGAUUUAUGGGAUUUUGAUUGUACUAAAGUAUAAUUAAUCUUUAUGUAUACUAGAGUACAUAUAGCUCUGACAGUUCGAAAACAUGUUGCCACGACAACCAUUGUGUGGUAAAAUUUGUCUAAAAUGCUAAGGUUGUAAAAAAUUGAAAAAAAGCAUCCAUUGUUUUUUAAGUAUUGUCUUGAGAAUCUUCUCUGAAAAAAUUAGCAAGAUUGUCCAAAUAGUUUUUGAGUUAUUAGGGUUUAGGCAACGGUCCCUGCCAUUGCAUUGCAAGUUGCAAGAAAAAUUGCACCAUGUAACAUGUCCUUUAGGGCUAUUUCAGAUCCGUCAGAGCACCUCGUCACCAGGCGUUUUCUAACUAUAAUAUAAUAUUAAUGUACAGUAUAGUUUAUAGUAUAUACAACUACUGAACAAUAGUUGUUCAAGUAAUGAUAUUGCGUUCUGUACUUUUUAAUACUCAAGUUGGAAUGUCAUUAGUUUAAAUACCUAGUUCAUUUGCUUUAAAUGAUCCAUUAUUGAAAUAAUGUUCACAUGUGUGGAUGGGAGAUGGGGGCUAGGUACUAUAAAAUGCCAUUAAAAUACCAACAUGCACUACUCCCGGAAAUUCCAUCUAUGGAUAUGAACCAAUAGGUUCUUUUAACUGCACAGUUUACAUUCCUUUAAUUGCUAAUAUCCACUCUACAAUAGAGACCAUUCUUACCAUCUUUGUAUUAGGGCCAACAACCUUAAAGUUUGUAUUAGUUUUGUAGGAGUCUUAGUGUGGGUAUAUACCAACCUGUCCAAAUAUUGCUCUGGGCCCUAAGGCUGUAAUCUCAUAUAAUAUGUUAGUAAUUACCAUGAUUAUAUAUAAUCUCUUUAUUAAGCCCACCCUCUCAAAUAAGCUAAAUUGGCCGACGUUUUUGACAAUGACCAAUACUUUAUAUAAUAUUUUUAUACUAUAUCUUAUAUUUUGUAAAUAGCUUUUAGAUAUUUUUAUAUACUGUAUACUUCUAAUAUACACGCCCCUCGUGGAAAUCAGCUACGGUUGACGAGGUCAGCGUGUUGAAAUAAAGUUUUCUAUCUAUCUAUCUAUAAGCCCUCUUCUCUAAUAAGCUGCCACUCCCUUUAAAUGAAGAAAUUGAUUAAGACACCCUCUAAUAGACCCUGGGAUGGUGUGAUCACGUGAGUCAUGACCACGUGCUAUACUCAGUAGGGGUGAGACGAUUGAGCACUUAUGAACUAAAAAUAGCAAACGUAACCAUUAGAACAAGUGAUAUUUUAAACCAUAUUUAUCACGUAAACUAUAAAGUCUGUCGAACUGAAAUAAAGUCAGGUAACUGAAAGAGUAGAUAAACGACAGAAAUCUAUCUCGUGAAUGAUUUUGAAAGUUCCUAUAAAAGCACAAUUUUAAAAUUUUAGCUGUGUGUCAAACCGAGUUGUGCUAAACAGUUGUUGUAGCCAUAAUAAAUUUUGCAAUAUAAAUUAUCACUAAAGUGAAGAAUCGUUCUAAACACUUUAUCUUGGCCCUCUAAAAACCAUUAAAAAAUUAUACGGUUUCAUCUUUUACAAUAAAGAGAUCCAACUCGCAAAGUAGCUACGUACAUGUGCAUCAUUGACAGUAGAUUAAUUUUCUUGCGCUAUAUGCAAACAUGACGUUGUGCUUUGUCAAUGCUUUGGUAUCGGGUCAUAAAAAAAAACAUGUGUACAGUCAUGUAUAAUAUUUUAUGAGAGACAUAGGGGAGAAUAUCUUAGUGGUAACUAUGAUAUACAAACUCGAAUCGAAGGCGAGAGGUUUUAUGUCGAUACAACAGCUAGUGCAACACCGACGCGAAUGUUGUAUAUCAGUAGUAUAUCAGUCUUGACGAUCGUGAAAACAUUCGUAUUCUUCAACCAUUUAAAAUAAAUGAACAAUAUUUGGUGAGAAAAUUGAACUUAAAGUUUAUGUAAAUCAGCAUGAUUCUGUGUUUUCAUGAAUUAUUGAGUUUCAUAUAUGAAGGCAAUAGAGCGAGCACAUAUAACAUUAUAACAAAAGUCACAACGAACAUGUAAAUAUUUUGAAUCAAUGACAUUAUGACAGAAUCAAUGCAAAUUUGUCAAAAAUCUACAUGAAUUGAGACGCGUGCACUAAAAUUAUAUAGUAUGCGAACAAUCACUGUAAUAUACACAAAAGUAAACAGUAAACAUCGCGCCAAAAUAUAUAAACACGUACCGUUGCACUGCAUAUUUUCAAUUUAUAUAAAGGUGGGAGCUCAUAGUUGAUAAGCUUUUUUAGCAAAUACACGAAAAUGUAUCCAUUUAAUUUUGACAAAUCUGAUAUGUGCUGUAUAAGAAGAACGCUUGAAAUCACGGUUUAUAUUAUUAAUAUCACUGCGAUCAGAUCACAUAUAUUCUGAAACAGACGACACCGAGAGUCUAAGUCACUGGUCUAAAUGCCGUGAACCAUGUAUGUAUAUAAAACGUUUUUCGGAGUGUUCGUUUAUUUCAAAUAUAGAACUUGGAGAACUGUCAAAUGCGAUACAGUAUAAACUAAAUUGACACGUUCUAUUAUUUUUAUAAAUUAUUGUAGUUAAUAACUCUGCCCCACGUACCCACCCUGACGACAAAUUACGCUACAUCCCAGAAUCUGGGAUGUCACGUGACCAUACCAGAACAGGGUCUCGCCGGAUUUGUAUUUAAUAAAUCAGACAUAUUAAUUGAUAUUCUAUUUUAUUUUUGCAUCAGCAAAAUAUGCUAGUGUAGCCACCCCAACUGCAUCUCGGUACCCCCUUGAAACCAUCGCUGGGGGCAUAGCCCCCCAGCCCAAACUGUAAAGUUUGGUCCACGCGGGGAAGGCGUUCCCUGCGCAGAUCUUUGUCACCCAUAUAACAUCAUAGGCCUAUUACAAAGGCAAGGACAAAGCGUUCCCCGCGCAUAAAAGAAACUUUACAAUCUUGACCCCAGCCACCACGCCACUGCAGAGACCAGUUACUGAGAAUUAAUCACAAGUUCUUGUAUAUAUAAUAUGGUGAUGGACUUAUGUAUCUAUCAAAGCUUAAAGGUGUCUCCUGGGAGUAGGGAAUUUGACGUUCUGAAUCUUCUUUCGGGCGGGGGAAUUUGACAAGGGUGGGGAAUUUGAAUUUAGAUCACGAAUUUGCAUAUUUUUGCCAGUCAGCUCUCUCAAACUUGUGAUCAUUUUGAAAUAUUGAUUACUUUAUAAAUUUGAAAUGUUAAGGAUAAAAUUCGUGUCAUGGCUUGCGAAAUUUGUUUAUGUUAAUACUUGAGAAAAGAUUGGCAACUACUUUAGCCACUUCAUUGACAACUCUUGUGUGUUUUUAGCAUUUUUUCGUUCUUUAUUGACGGUUUCAUGAAAAUUUCCUUUGCAGGGGGUUGGGAUUUGGCCUUCAAUUUUUCUGUUUUAGAUACUUGGAUACAUUUUUGCCAGGGGGUGCGGAAUAUGAACAAUCAGAUUUUCGAAAUUCAAAUUCAGUGGGGUAUGCCCGGGGGGAGGGGUAUGAUAAUGUUUCGAAUUGAUAGAUACAUUACGUUAGUCAUAUACAACUUCACCGUAGAGCAAUUAUGUUCUAUAACGUUUCUAAAUUUUGUCAUCUGUGUUGGAGCAAUGAUGCUUGCUGUAGAUUAUUGAAUGUAAAUAAAAUUAACUGUUACACUAUUACUUACACUAUAUUUUUUUAAAUAACUAUUACAAAGAAAAACUAUGAUUAAGAAAUUCUUAUCUGUGGCAAAGUCUUUUUCCAGCUAAGAAUAAGAAAUACAUGUAUGGUUUUCCUGUCAUCUCUUGUAUUUAUAACAAUAAAAAUAUUUCGAAGAGUGAAGAAGAAACAACAACAGUAUACUACUUCCACUCCUUGUCAGGCUCCAUAUUGCAUUUUGUGGCCGUCUCAGAAAAAGCCUGGUGACUAAGUGCUCUGACGGAUCUGAAAUAGCCCUAACCGGAAGACAACACAACUGUUACCACACUACCGUAAUUAUUUGCGAACUACGUUUAAUUAGGAAAUAGCCUAUUGCUGAGUAACCAGACCUUAAUCUCGUUACCAGUCUUUUGAUUCAUUAAACCGCAAAAAUAUUCCAGUUUUCUUUCAAAUCAUCCAAAAACAAAGAGAGAAAGACCAAAUGAAAUGGCAAAUAUAAUCUCGUUUAGCCGAAACAGUACUCUUUUGAGUGGUAAACCUUUCUUGAGUGCCUACAGUUGAUUUUAGAAGGUGUAUAAGGUGUACUGCCCCCUUAAUAAGUUUAAUUAAAAUGAGGAAACGGCAUUCUCUGAUAAAUAAUAUUUCAUUUUGAGCUACCAGUCUGUGGACUUUUAACUAUUAACUUCAUCCAUAUUUUUACGUAUGAUAAGUUGCUAUUUAAUAAUGUAUUCAAUUUACAAAAUGAAAAAAGGGUGUCCAAUCAGGGUGUUUGGAUUCAGUACAUAUCAAACCAAUCAAAAAUUAUACUGCAUCAACAUUAAAAUUUCAUUUAAUUUCUUUUAAUGAUUCGUCACAAUUUACAUACAUAUAAUACAAGCAAGCAAUAUUAUCUACUAAACUAACAAUUAUAUAUAUCAACAGAGCCAGGCGGGUAGUAAAAUGGUAAUUUUGCUUUGUAAUAUCUACAAGGUGUAUAAAAAAAACGCAACACUUAAUAUUCUAAAAUAUUCGUAUUGUUCUUAAACACAAUGUACAAUAGUACUUCUAAUCGUACAAUCGAAUGCUAACAGCCAUAUCAUCUAAGCUAACAAUGACGAUAACAAUUUUAGAAUAUUAAGCGUUUAUUUUGAUACACCCUGUAUGUUAGAGCGCUUCUAAAUAAGGAUAUUGAGAUGUACGAUUUCAGAUCAGCUGGAAGACUAUUCCACAGAUUCGCCGCCUUAUACAGAUAUAAUUUUUUAAAGUAGUCUUGUUUAUGCAUCAAGAGAAAAUUGAAGUUAUUUUCGUCGUAAUUACGCAAUGAUUUAUACCCUGGUUCCUAGGUACACAAAUACUUAUUGACAUCCAUAGAUAUAAGUCCCAUUUUGGAUUUGUAUAGUAGUUGCAAGUCAGAGAUCGCUCGGCGGAAUUCUAGUGGAAGGAGAUUCGUUUUAGCCAGCCUUUCUGUGCAUUCAGUUAUUCUCAAGUGUUUGGAAACCUCGGUAAAACACGAGCCACAAGUUUACGAAAUAACUUCUCAGUCGACAAUAGUCUAAUGUUGUGGAAUUCCCUAAUUACAUGUCAUCCUACUUUAUGGCUUCUGUGCAUACUUUGCAUUUCGAAUUUAGAAUUGUUGUAAUAAUACAGUUCUCAUUGUUCUGGUUGUAUUUAUAAUUUAAAAAUGUUGUAAUGCACGCUUUUUAUUGUUUAAAUCGUUUAUUAUCUAACUUCUUAAUUUUUAAUUCAAUUUUUGCUUUAUUACCGUGGUUUCACAACUGAUGUACGUGAUGAAAAGCGUGUUUUUUACUGGUAUUUUUGCUCAUUAAUUAUUAAUGAGUUUGAGAAUAACAUUUUAAGCUGUAUGAAAAAAAGAAAUGCUUCUACAUAUAUAGAUACUGUAACUCACUGUACAUGUACUCUCUCUAUUUGUAGGUGCGGUGGAUAACAUGGAGGAGAAUAAAAUGUCCAAAACAAGUGUUAAAAUGCCACAAAUGAGUGGUGAAGUACUGGUCAGAAACAAGUGGUGAAUUGGCAGAAACAAGUGGUGAAGUACCAGAAACAAGUGAUGCACUGCCAGAAACAAGUGGUGAAUUUGUUCAGUUAUAUGUCAAAAACAUUUUUGACUUGUAGGAUAGUUAAUUAUCUGUAAUUGCCAAUUUUGGCCUCAUUGCCACCUAAUCGAUAUUAAAAGGGGCCCUCUCAACCUUUACAUCAUCGUGUUUAAAGCGACAUAAUAAAUGCAAAAUACGGUAAUUAUUUCAGGCUUGUUUAUGUUUCACUUCUAACAUUUAAAGGCAUGAUCAAUAAACAUUACCGUACACACAAAAUAUAAAAUCGAUAUCAUAUUUAUCAACUGAUUCAAGCAAUAUAGCAGAUUGGCACACAGUAUCGCAGACUGAGAGGGCCCCUUUAAGUGAGAUCAUAGCACUUCAUACUGUCUAGAUUAAUAGAUAGUAUACUGUAAACAUAAUUUUAUGCCCUAACAGUUUGUUGUAUGUGGGUUAAUUAUGUAAAAUUUUAAAAUUGUU